CAAACCCUUUCAUCCUAAAUCUUCUACACACUACCGCCAUGAACCGCCCGCACCUGAGCUCAACCCCUUUGAAGCAUAUUUUAGGGUUUUUUUUUUUUUUUUUUUUUUUGUGAAUUCGGUUGAGGAUGCAUUUGACAAUCAAGUCAAGAAGGUCAAUCGUUAUUCAAAAUAUAAGAAAUGGAGGUUCAAUGCGUUCCCUUGAUUUAAUGGGCGAUAAAAUUGACGACACAGAUUUGUUUCAGGUUUGGGGUGUGGUGAAAAGAAGUCGAACCAUCCUUAUACACAGGCAAUUUCGUUAGAACUAAGCCAGCACGAAGCUGGGAGAUACACAAACAGAGGCAAACAACAAACAAGCAAAAAAAAAAAAGACAUAGGGCAACAUUCUAAGAUUGAUUCGGUCCCGGCGAUCCCUUUUCGCUUUUGGAAACAAUGAACGUGAACUUCUCGCCAAACAGGUUAAACUGAUUUUUAUUCCAUUUAAGUAUGGAUGUUAUGAAGCUCAUAUGGGUCAGAUCCACAGUGUUGAGAAGCUUUGGUAUUAUUACUUUCCGUACGCUUUGGAUGCUAUAAAGUCGUUGGUAUUUUAUAUAUUUUGAACGCUAGAAAG